rnacentral:misc_RNA from 1 species
CGAGUUUCCAAAACUCCCAAACCCACUGUGAACCUUACCAAAACGUUGCUUCGGCGGGACAGCCCCGGGCCCCCGCGCCCGGAACCAGGCGCCCGCCGGAGGCCCCAACAAACUCUCGUGUCUACCCCAGCGGCAUCUACGUCUGAGUGGCCCCGAAAGGGCAAGCAAAUGAAUCA